rnacentral:lncRNA from 1 species
CGAAUUAUAAUAUAUAAAUUGCGGUACGGUACGGUAUUACCGUGGUAUUAGAAAUACAAUACCGCUACCGUACCAUAUUGUAAUGGUACGGUACUAGUACCGUACCGUAAACAUUGGUAACCGUUCUUUCGGUAAUUUUUCGGUAUUUCUUGGUAGGUAUACCGUGGUACAUGGUAAUUGGCAUUUUUUUUCCAGCCCUA